UACGUAGGGUGCAAGCGUUGUCCGGAAUUAUUGGGCGUAAAGAGCUCGUAGGCGGUCUGUCGCGUCGGCUGUGAAAACCCGAGGCUCAACCUCGGGCCUGCAGUCGAUACGGGCAAACUAGAGUACUGCAGGGGAGACUGGAAUUCCUGGUGUAGCGGUGGAAUGCGCAGAUAUCAGGAGGAACACCGGUGGCGAAGGCGGGUCUCUGGGCCGAUACUGACGCUGGAGGAGCGAAAGCGUGGGGAGCGAACAGG
rnacentral:rRNA from 1 species